rnacentral:rRNA from 1 species
UACGGAGGGUGCAAGCGUUGUCCGGAUUCAUUGGGUUUAAAGGGUGCGCAGGCGGGCCAUUAAGUCAGGGGUGAAAGACGGUUGCUCAACAAUCGCAGUGCCUUUGAUACUGGUGUUCUUGGGUGACCUUGAGGUAGGCGGAAUGGGUGGUGUAGCGGUGAAAUGCAUAGAUACCACCCAGAACUCCGAUUGCGAAGGCAGCCUACUGGAGGUUUACCGACGCUCAGGCACGAAAGCGUGGGGAGCAAACAGG